UACGGAGGGGGCUAGCGUUGUUCGGAAUUACUGGGCGUAAAGCGCACGUAGGCGGAUCGGACAGUCGGGGGUGAAAUCCCGGGGCUCAACCCCGGAACUGCCUCCGAAACUCCCGGUCUGGAGGAUGAGAGAGGCGAGUGGAAUUCCGAGUGUAGAGGUGAAAUUCGUAGAUAUUCGGAGGAACACCAGUGGCGAAGGCGGCUCGCUGGCUCAUUUCUGACGCUGAGGUGCGAAAGCGUGGGGAGCAAACAGGAUUAGAAACCCUAGUAGUCC
rnacentral:rRNA from 1 species